UGUCGGUGGUGAUAGUAGCAGGGAAACGCCCGGUCCCUUUCCGAACCCGGAAGCUAAGCCUGGUUACGCUGAUGGUACUGCACUCGGGAGGGUGUGGGAGAGUAGGUUACCGCCGACCAAAAA
rnacentral:rRNA from 1 species